ensembl:lncRNA
UAAUUGUUAUUUCUUUUUUUAAUGAAGAUUCUUUUGCUUUCUGGGGCACAUUCCUUUAGUGCAGGGUGAUUAAAGUUGCAGGUUAAAUUAAUAUUAGUAAUGAGCUAAUCUUACCCUUGGGAGCUUGUCCAGCUGGGCCCAAGGUAAUCACAAGGCCCUUAAAAGUGAAAAAGGGAAUCCAAAGAGAAAACCAGAGAGAAGGCAGCAUGAGAAGAAUUAAGCUCAAUGUCACUGGCUUUGCAGAUGUAUGAACGGGGCACAGAGAAGGAAUAAGUGCAGCUUCUAGAAGCUGACAGGGGCAAGAGGACUGAUUGUCCCUUGGAGCCUGCAGAAAGAACAUAGCCAUUCCAACAUCUUAAUUUUAGCCCAUCGAGACCCAUUUUGGACUUCUGACCUCCAAAAGUAUCCUCCAAAAGGAACUCAAUUGUCAUAAGUUCCCUCGGGCGUUCCAUCCACUGGGGAGAAGGAUUAUCGUCUCUGGAGAGGAGAUCGCAAGUGGACAGUGACGGGGUUGAGGGUGGGCCGCCCCAAGAUGUACCACUCUGGGAUGCAGGCUGUUUCGAGCUGAAGACCACAAAGGUUCAAAAGACUCAGGAAGAGCAUCCGACCUUCACCCCUCAAACUGCCUAAAGGACUUGAACAGACAAGGCCUGUUCCAGGAAGGGGCUCAUAUCGGGUGAUAGCUAUAGCAUGAUGUAAAAUAGGUGUGAUAAAAGGACACCAGCAAACCCAUUUUUUGGGCCUAGCAAAACCUGUUUAACAAACAUUUGCAUUCCAUCUCUAGGUAGAUUGUUUUCCUCCCGUUUGAAGUCCCAGAUCACUGUGUCCUCCUGGUCUGUAGCUGAGGAUACUUAAACGGGUGGACUCAGCCAGAUGGCAGAGUUACUCAGUUUCCUCUGGUUUUCUCCCAUGUAUACAUGCCAUUAAUUUGUUUGAUUUUCUCUUGCUAACCUGCCUCUUUGAUUAUUUAACCAGCCAUAAGAACCUUAAGGAAAAGUGGUGGGGGCAAUUCUCCUACUUCCCCGACAACAGCACACCCAGACAAACUGUGUCACAAACCGUCACACCCCCAUCUAUUCUUCUAAGAGCCCAUUCAUCUUUCCUAAAAACUGUGCUUUCCCUAAGAGCCUGACGUCUCCUCUCCUCUUUCCUAGUAAGAUGGCGUUUAAUCCUGAAUUCUAAGAGUUACUCAUUUUUCCCUGGGUGUCACCCAUGUUUGUUUUUCUUGUUAAUCUGUCUUUUAUUAUAGGAGUGUCAGUUAAGAACUCAGAAAUGAAAAGGGAAAAUUAUUUUUCUUCCCCUACAGUGAAAUAAUGGGGAAGAUGUGGAAUGUGAAACCACUUUUACUGCUCCAAUGGAAUCCUAGAUUUGUAUAAACAUUCUUUCAUAAGAACAAAUGACCAAGGAGGAAAGAAAGAAACAACAAGGAUUACUUUAAAAGAAGUAUCCAGACAAGUAAAUGAAACAGCUUUGGUGAGCCUCUGGAGGACUAUUACACGUUGCUAUUCAAGCACGAGAAAGCACAUCAAGCUCAUAAUAAGAUGAGAUAUCUGCUGUUUCUGCUGUCUGGCUGUUCUUUUAGAUAUUAUUUAAAUUAAAAUUAUCGAAGUCAUCCAAAAGUCUCUGAAGUAUUUCUGUGAGUUCACUCUCCCAACAAUGAGCUAUAACUGAAAAAUGAUGCCAUUCCUGGAAUUCAGAAAAAUAUGAUCUUCAUGAAUCAUUGGAAGUUUCCAGUGGCAAUAGAAAUUCUGAACCGAAGACACAUAACUUAGAACAUCUGUCAGUGAAUGAUGACUUCCCUCACAACUAUGCAGCAGCAUCCAUGAUCAAUUGUGCAUGAGCUGAGUCAAGGUGGAGCUCAGCCAAGACCUUCACCCCACAAGAACAGUGAGGGUGGGACCGACUGCUGACACUGCGCUGAGGCACAGCCAAAGUGCGUGAAUCACAAUGAGGCUGCAGUCACCGCAGUCACAAUUAGUCAGCAGUGGAGUGGUGCAGCCUUCUGGAAAUCUGCAACUGGCUUGAAAGCAAUAGUGCAAGGAGAUAUGUGAACUCUUCAUCCCUUUUGUUUCUUAAGAAAAAGGAUAAAUUUGUAAAAUGUAAAGGGCCCACAAAACGUAGUAGAAAAGAAAUUGACUUUAGAGUCAUCUGACCUGGGAUUAUAUUAAAGGUCUACAUCUUACUGAGAAAUUACCUAGCCUCUCUGAACCUCAUUUUACCCUCCUGCUACCUAGUCUUUAGUUGUUGCGAAGAAUAGACAUAAUUUACUUAUGUAAGGACCCAUUGGGCCAUCAAUAACU